rfam:Gossypium arboreum cultivar AKA8401 contig_46310_1, whole genome shotgun sequence.
AGUUCGUGGUUAGGACACCUUCUCAACAAAUCUUUAAAUCUCUCACAUGUAUCAUAAAAUGUCUCAAUAUCAAACUGAAAAAAAGAAGAGAUGUUGUUCCUCAAUUU